rnacentral:rRNA from 1 species
UACGUAGGGUGCAAGCGUUGUCCGGAAUUAUUGGGCGUAAAGAGCUCGUAGGCGGUCUGUCGCGUCUGCUGUGAAAACUCAGGGCUUAACCCUGAGCUUGCAGUGGGUACGGGCAGACUAGAGUGCGGUAGGGGAGACUGGAAUUCCUGGUGUAGCGGUGAAAUGCGCAGAUAUCAGGAGGAACACCGGUGGGCGAAGGCGGGGUCUCUGGGCCGUAACU